rnacentral:rRNA from 1 species
UACGGAGGGUGCAAGCGUUAUCCGGAUUUAUUGGGUUUAAAGGGUGCGCAGGCGGUGCCUUAAGUCAGUGGUGAAAUCUCUUCGCUUAACGAAGAAACUGCCAUUGAUACUGAGGUUCUUGAAUCUAGUUGACGUUAGUGGAAUGUGUCAUGUAGCGGUGAAAUGCUUAGAUAUGACACAGAACACCGAUCGCGAAGGCAGCUAACGAAGCUAGUAUUGACGCUCAGGCACGACAGCAUGGGGAGCAAACAGG